AUUAUGAGAGUUUGAUCCUGGCUCAGGACGAACGCUGGCGGCGUGCCUAAUACAUGCAAGUCGAACGCUUCUUUCCUCCCGAGUGCUUGCACUCAAUUGGAAAGAGGAGUGGCGGACGGGUGAGUAACACGUGGGUAACCUACCCAUCAGAGGGGGAUAACACUUGGAAACAGGUGCUAAUACCGCAUAACAGUUUAUGCCGCAUGGCAUAAGAGUGAAAGGCGCUUUCGGGUGUCGCUGAUGGAUGGACCCGCGGUGCAUUAGCUAGUUGGUGAGGUAACGGCUCACCAAGGCCACGAUGCAUAGCCGACCUGAGAGGGUGAUCGGCCACACUGGGACUGAGACACGGCCCAGACUCCUACGGGAGGCAGCAGUAGGGAAUCUUCGGCAAUGGACGAAAGUCUGACCGAGCAACGCCGCGUGAGUGAAGAAGGUUUUCGGAUCGUAAAACUCUGUUGUUAGAGAAGAACAAGGACGUUAGUAACUGAACGUCCCCUGACGGUAUCUAACCAGAAAGCCACGGCUAACUACGUGCCAGCAGCCGCGGUAAUACGUAGGUGGCAA
rnacentral:rRNA from 1 species